UUCACUUUCAUCCUAAUCCAACAGAAUCUGACCAACAAAACUAUGGAUGCCCCCUAGUGUCUUUCACCCAAUGAUGUCAAUGAUGUUGCUUAGGAAUCUACUGGAAGCCUCAACCACCAACAUUUAUUGUGGACUGAAUCGAUCAUACGGCUAAACCUAAUACCAAAAUAGGUAAUCACCUCUAUUUUCCUGGCUUCUAACUCUGGGACGCUGGAUGGGUUGUAAAAUUCAAAGAGUGAUGGAGUGGAAUUCAGCUUUAUGGUUGAGAAAGAACAAAACCCACAGAAAAAGAAUCGACAUGGUGGAUGGAGUUGGAGUGGGAGAUGCCGCGUAUGACGUGUGCAAUUUAUUACCGCGUCUGCCAACUACCAACAACACUACGGAGACUUGGAAUAGGAAAGAUGGGAGGCGAGCCCCCUAAUAAAUGAACUGUAGGAUAAACUUUUUAAAGGUCUUGAAUAAAAUCUUUUACUUGUUAAAUAUAAACUAAAAUACUAAUUGUAUUAAUUUAAUUACUUAUUAAAUUUUGAUCCUCGGAAUCUAUGGACUCUGAUUGCGCUCCACGCUGGAAGCAAACAUGGAGAAAACGACGUCGCUUUAAAUGCCCUACAAAUUGUAAAUAUUUUAGUGGAGGAAAAAGGAAAUCAAAUAAAAUAAAAAACAAAAAAAAACAAAAAGCCAAGAAACGAAGGAGGUUCCUUCCUUCCAAAUUCCAAUCCAGCGUCAACCCAACCCACUCUAUAUAAACCUAUAUAUCGGUGUCUGGCUCAUCUUCUAGUGUGCCUUUUGUUUUUGGUAUCCGAAGGCCUUAGGGUUUGUUUGAUAAGGAAGAUCCACCAUGGGUGGAGGCAACGGCCAGAAGUCCAAGAUGGCUCGCGAGAAGAACAUGGAGAAGCAGAAAAACGCCGCCAGAGGAAGCCAGCUCGAAUCUAACAAGAAAGCCAUGAGCAUCCAGUGCAAGGUGUGCAUGCAAACAUUCAUUUGCACAACUUCAGAAGUGAAGUGCAGGGAGCAUGCAGAAGCAAAACACCCCAAAUCCGACGUUUAUACUUGUUUUCCUCAUCUGAAGAAGUAAAUAGAACUGGGAAACUGGAAACUGUGAUGGGUUUGGAACUUCAUCCCUAAUAUUUCAAUAUGAUCUAAGUUUGAAACUGUUUGUGGAAUAUGUUCAAAUUGUUUCUCUAGUGGUCUUGCCUAUCCCCUAUUCAAGUCUGUAGUCCCCGAAGUAAACAUGUAUUUUGGUGUUCUGUUCGUCUGAAUGUUGUCUCUUUGAAGGAAUGCAUUGCAGUCUUCAUUGCAA